rnacentral:rRNA from 1 species
UAGCUGGCAGCUAGCUCUCUGUAACUCUCACAUGGUCGCCCACCAAAGCUAAGCAGGGCUGUGCCCGAUCAGUACCUGGAUGGGAGACCACAUGGGAAAGCUAGGUUGCUUACGGA